rnacentral:rRNA from 1 species
UCGAGGAAAGUAAAUCAACCGAGACUCCCUGAGUAGUGGCGAGCGAAAAGGGAUCAGCCCAAACUUGUUGCGUGUAAGCAGUCACGCGUUGCGCAGCAGGGGUUGUAGGGCGUUUGUUCCGGGUCGUGACUGGCCCGGCGGAAGUUACAAAGUCAUGCGGUAGUCGAAGAGCCUGGAACGGCUCACCAAAGAGGGCAACCGUCCCGUAGACGAAACCACAUGAUCUUCCGUCAAGCGUUCCUGAGUAAGUCCGCGCCCGUGAAACGCGGACUGAAGCUGGGGGGACCACCCUCCAAGGCUAAGUACUCCUAGGUGACCGAUAGCGGACUAGUACCGUGAGGGAAAGGUGAAAAGUACCCCGGAAGGGGAGUGAAAUAGUACCUGAAACCGCGUGCCUACAAGCGGUGGGAGCAGACUUGUUCUGUGACCGCGUGCUUUUUGCAUAACGAGCCGGCGAGUUACUCGUCUGCGGCAAGGUUAAGCGAUGAGCGGAGCCGUAGCGAAAGCGAGUCCGAAUAGGGCGACAUAGUCGUAGGCGGUAGACCCGAAACUGAGCGAGCUACCCAUGGGCAGGUUGAAGCGGGGGUAAGACCUCGUGGAGGACCGAACCGACCUAGGUUAAAAACUGGGCGGAUGACCUGUGGGUCGGAGUGAAAGGCUAAUCAAGCUCAGUGAUAUCUGGUUCUCUCCGAAAUAUAUUUAGGUAUAGCCUCGGAUCAAUUGCGUAUUGGCCGUAGAGCACUGUUUGGACGCGGGGCCCUACCAGGUUACCAACUUCAGGCAAACUCCGAAGACCAGUACGUUUACUCCGGGAGUCAGUUGCUGGGGGAUAAACUUCAGCGUCAAGAGGGAAACAGCCCAGACCGCCAGCUAAGGUCCCCAAAUGCUAGCUAAGUGGCAAACGAUGUUCGAGUGCAUAGACAACCAGGAGGUUGGCUUAGAGGCAGCCACCCUUGAAAGAGUGCGUAACAGCUCACUGGUCAAGUGUUCGAGCGCGGAUAAUGUAACGGGGCUUAAGCUAGCUACCGAAGCUGCGGGUGCGUGAGACUUUCGAGUCGAUCGCGCGGUAGGAGAGCGUUCCGAUGCCAGUAAAGCGGCGGGGUAACCCAGCCGUGGAGGCUUCGGAAGUGAGAAUGCCGGCAUGAGUAACGAAAGAGGAGUGAGAAUCUCCUCCACCGAUUGCCCAAGGAUUCCUGAGUAAAGUUCGUCUGCUCAGGGUUAGUCGGGACCUAAGGCGAGGCCGAAAGGCGUAGUCGAUGGCUAACAGGUUGAUAUUCCUGUACCACGUCGUGUUUGCUUGACCGAUGGGGGGACGGGGAAGGCUACGGGAACCCAGGCGAUGGUCGUCCUGGGGUAAGCAUGUAGGGGUGGGCCUAGUGAAAUGCGGGCCUGCAUAACCUGAGGUGCGAUGCCAGCUGGCUUUGAGCCGGCGAGUCCCUUACGCCAUGCCUCCGAGAAAAGCCUCUAGGGAGAACACGCGUGCCCGUACCAAAACCGACACAGGUGGGCAAGUAGAGAAUACUAAGGUGAUCGAGAUAACCCUCGUUAAGGAACUCGGCAAAAUCGCCCCGUAACUUCGGGAUAAGGGGCGCCCUAGUAAGGUGAAGCUCUUCGCGAGUGGAGCCUGAGGGGGCCGCAGUGAAUUGGUCCAAGCGACUGUUUACCAAAAACACAGGUCUCUGCUAAGUCGAAAGACGACGUAUAGGGGCUGACGCCUGCCCGGUGCCGGAAGGUUACGUGGAGGUGUUAGGGUUCGCCCAAAGCACCGAAGCUAAGCCCCGGUAAACGGCGGCCGUAACUAUAACGGUCCUAAGGUAGCGA